rnacentral:tmRNA from 1 species
GGGGCUGUUUAGGAUUCGAUUGCAAGCGGAUUUCGUAGGACGCACGUCGGAGGCUCGGCUCCGUAAAAACGGACAAAUUUUAAAUGCUGAUAAUAAAAGCAGAAGAUCGACCGUUGCGCGUCGGGCUACCCGCCGCGUAGCACUUGCGGCUUAACAGCGUUAGGCUCCGUUCUCUUUCCGUUCCCCAUGGCGGGAAGCAGAGCGUAAUUAAAGUGGGCAACCUUUUGUAAGGGCGCGUUUCCCCCCUUAUAAAAAGCUCUUCGGAAACACGCCCCCCGUAAGCUUGUCUAUGGGCUUACCUCGGGCAAGACCGACCAUAGACUAAGCGUGUAGUGUCCGCGCUUGAACCUUGUAAGACCGCAGUUCAACUCUGCGCAGCUCCACCA